rnacentral:rRNA from 1 species
ACUUUACAAUGCCGGCAACGGCGAUAAGGGGACCUCGAGUGCCAGGUUACAAAUCUGGCUGUCGUGAUGCCUAAAAAGCAUUGCAUAGCAAGGGCCGGGCAAGACCGGUGCCAGCCGCCGCGGUAACACCGGCGGCUCGAGUGGUAACCGUUAUUAUUGGGUCUAAAGGGUCUGUAGCCGGCCGGAUAAGUCUCUUGAGAAAUCCAGCAGCUCAACUGUUGGGCUUUCAGGAGAUACUGUUCGGCUCGAGGCCGGGAGAGGUGAGAGGUACUUCAGGGGUAGGGGUGAAAUCUUGUAAUCCUUGAAGGACCACCAGUGGCGAAGGCGUCUCACCAGAACGGACCUGACGGCAAGGGACGAAAGCUAGGGGCACGAACCGGAUUAGAUACCCGGGUAGUCCUAGCCGUAAACGAUACUCGCUAGGUGUCGGCCACGGUGCGACCGUUGUCGGUGCCGUAGGGAAGCCGUGAAGCGAGC